UACGUAGGGGGCAAGCGUUGUCCGGAAUUAUUGGGCGUAAAGAGCGUGUAGGCGGCCAAGCAGGUCCGCUGUGAAAACUCGAGGCUCAACCUCGAGACGUCGGUGGAAACCGUUUGGCUAGAGUCCGGAAGAGGAGAGUGGAAUUCCCGGUGUAGCGGUGAAAUGCGCAGAAAUCGGGAAGAACACCCGUGGCGAAGGCGGCUCUCUGGGACGGUACUGACGCUGAGACGCGAAAGCGUGGGGAGCGAACAGG
rnacentral:rRNA from 1 species